UUCAGCCACAAACAUAUUACUAUUUCAUCAAGAACAUGUGUGUAAAGUUUUAGUCUAUUAAGCUAGCACGUGUAUAAAGCAGGCAUGUCAAGCUAGCAUGUGCGUAAUUUGGCUGCUAAGCUAGCAUGUCAAUCCCUUUUAGGUCAACAUUUACAUUUAGCUUUGUUUCUGCCUAAGAUUGUAUCACAUUUUUAAGUGUCUUAUGGACAUAAUUAGACUCA
rnacentral:lncRNA from 1 species